rfam:Ruminococcus torques L2-14 draft genome.
AUCAUUUGAGAAGCAGGAAAGGCACCCUGCGCUCCUUAGGGAACCUGAUAUGAUGGAUACGCCGCCCAUCCAAGUGUU